ACAUUACACUUUUUUUGUUGCCACAUUGGGAUUUAACAGAUGUCCCGUCUGCAUCUUGUUAUCCAUGACAUUCACCUGUUGUUGGGGGACAAACUCCUUAGCAAGAGCGAAUGUUUGAAGAGUCACGGAACGCAGGCAGAUGUUUUCCUCUGGCGGAGGAGGGAGUACACUGGACACGUUACAUCUUGGGUGGACUUUUGACUCAUAUCACCAAUUCCUCAGAGGUUUGCGUCACCUGUCUGACUCGCCCAAUCGCCGCUCUAUAUGAUGACUGCUGUCUGGCCAUGUAGGAUCAACAGACCCGAUCCCACCGGAUAGCUCAUCGGUUGUUCGUGUCAGGCAAUUGCACACCGCCUCCGUUUACCAAUCGUGUGGUUUUAGCGUACAAAGAUUGUUGAGGUGACAACAUUGAACAAUGCCGAGAUGAUCGAUCGCUGCCCCUCCUGCGAAGGAAAAGAUUAGCAAGAAUAAAACUCUGAGAAGCAACCUUUUCUCUCAUGAGUCUUUCCACCAGCAAGGGAAAGUUUGGGGCCCGUGAUAUGUGCUUUGGGGUUAGAGUUGAGAUGGGGGUGUCGGUCAUUCGGUCCCACUAGAACAGUGCUCAGAGCGCCGGGGAGAUAAUCAGUGCCAACAGUCAGAGGCAAUAUGCUCAGGAUUGGAUUUUUAAAGCCUGUUAAAAUAUUACUGAGGGGAUUAAUAUUCAAAUAUGUGCAUGUCUUUCAGCUGUCUGUCUCCCUUUCUCCCUAUUCUCUUCAUGAUUUGUUCCCUUCAGUAUUCACACGCGGCAAAAUUUCAACAUUAUGUUGAUGAAAGGUCUUUUUUAAGUUUAUUGUGCCACUUGACUUAACUUUUGACUCACACAUUCUCCACUGUCACUAAUAGAAAACGGGCCAUUGGAGAAUCAGUACUGGGCUUUUUGAAUAAUCAGUUUGUUUAAUAAUUCAUUUCAUAUAUAAUGACACACCAAGAAUAAAUCUCUCUCUUUUGUGCACACACAUGCAUAACUUGAGCUCUAGUUUUUCUCUCUUCUGUUCUGUGUAAACAAGUAAGAGAGAAGCAGGAACCUAUUUAUAGCCACAUUACUCAUGUUAUAUUUCUUUUCCGCUGUGGAUGGUUUGUGUGCAUAUUUUUUUUUUAAAGGCAUUCACUUCAAGAUUUAAAUAACUCUACUGGAUUAUUUGGCGGAAAAACAAAACGAGCAGAGUGGUAAUGGGUGGAAUCAUCUCAGCUUAAUCCGUCAGUGGUACGUGGACCACAUAUUGCGUUUUGUUUUGAGACUGUGGCAGCGUCACACAAUCCAAACCCAGCGCAGGCAGUGUGACCAGCACAUACUGAGCAUCAGCCCUCAGGGAUAAUGACAUAUAGUCCCCAAGAGGCACGUUGCUGCCGGAGGGCCGUCGCUCCCAGGGGGCCUCUGCUCAUGUCUUCCUCAGUUAACAGGGACAGGAACCCGGCUAUCGAGCUCCCUUUUCUUUUUUGCUGCCAGAGAUUACGCCCUUUUAAACAAAUUUAGAGGUUGUUAGAGAUUUCGGGAGGUGAUCUGAGGGAAGGCUAAAAAAGAAAAUGGAGGACGACAUGAAGUGCAAUACGAAGGUACAUGUGACGGCUGUAUUUGGUUCGACAGCUCUGAAGAAUAUGCUCUGGAAUGAAAGCGAAAUAAAUUUCAGGUCUCUGCUGAAAAUGCAUCACGUGACUUAAUAAUAAUAAUUCCAAGAUGAACAUGAAAUCUGUCACCAGUCCAUGUGUUAUCAUUGUUAUUUCACCUUGACAUAAAUGCAUUAUUUCCUGCCCGGCACACUCGGCCAUGUGUGCUAACUGUACAGUAGAUCUGUAGGCAGAUGUGUCUACAUCCCGGUGCUGCGCUGUUUCAUUAAGCUCUGAUUAUGGGACCUGAUGCAGAGUGACAGUGUGCAGAUUGAGUUGCCCAGCCACUCUAAUUCUCUCUAUUAAUAAAACCCUUCCACACU